UAAUGAUGGGUAGGGGAGCUUCCCAUACGGGUUGAAGCAUGACCGUAAGGACAUGUGGACAGUAUGGGAGUGAGAAUGUUGGCAUGAGUAGCGAGAUGUGGGUGAGAAUCCCACAGGCCGUAAACCCAAGGUUUCCAGGGGAAGGUUCGUCCGCCCUGGGUUAGUCGGGACCUAAGCUGAGGCCGAAAGGCGUAGGUGAUGGACAACAGGUUGAUAUUCCUGUACUACCGAUAACCGUUUGAGAGAAGGGAUGACACAGUAGGAUAAGCUAAGCACACUGUUGGUUAUGUGUGCCCAAGCAUUGAGGCAGUCAAAGUAGGCAAAUCCGCUUUGAUAAUGCUGGGGUGUGAUGGGGAGCGAAAUUUAGUAGCGAAGUAGCUGAUUUCACACUGUCAAGAAAAGUCUCUAUCGAGGGUAAAGGUACCCGUACCGCAAACCGACACAGGUGGGUGAGGAGAGUAUCCUAAGGCCAGCGAGAGAACUGUUGUUAAGGAACUCGGCAAAAUGACCCCGUAACUUAGGGAUAAGGGGUGCCACCAUCAGGUGGCCGCAGAGAAUAGGCCCAAGCGACUGUUUACCAAAAACAUAGGUUUCUGCUAAGUCGCAAGACGAUGUAUAGGAGCUGACGCCUGCCCGGUGCUGGAAGGUUAAGGGGAUCUGUUAGAGUAAUCGAAGCAGUGAACUUAAGCCCCAGUAAACGGCGGCCGUAACUAUAACGGUCCUAAGGUAGCGAAAUUCCUUGUCGGGUAAGUUCCGACCCGCACGAAAGGCGUAACGAUUUGGGCACUGUCUCA
rnacentral:rRNA from 1 species